UCGCGGCUUAUCACCGGCAGUCCCCCUAGAGUGCCCAACUGAAUGAUGGCAACUAAGGGCGAGGGUUGCGCUCGUUGCGGGACUUAACCCAACACCUCACGGCACGAGCUGACGACAGCCAUGCAACACCUGUCCUGGUUCCCGACUUUACGGGUGGGACACCGUUUCCGGCGCCUACUUCCAGAAUGUCAAGCCUGGGUAAGGUUCUUCGCUUUGCAUCUAAUUAAGCAACGCGCUCCGCCGCUUGUGCGGGCCCCCGUCAAUUCCUUUGAGUUUCAGCCUUGCGGCCGUACUCCCCAGGCGGGGCACUUAACGCGUAAGCUGCGACACGGAAGGGGCCGAUCCCCCCCGCAUCCAGUGCCCAUCGUUUACAGCGUGGACUAC
rnacentral:misc_RNA from 1 species